rnacentral:rRNA from 1 species
CAGCCGCCACGGUAAUACGAAGGGUGCAAGCGUUACUCGGAAUUACUGGGCGUAAAGCGUGCGUAGGUGGUGGUUUAAGUCCGUUGUGAAAGCCCUGGGCUCAACCUGGGAAUUGCAGUGGAUACUGGGUCACUAGAGUGUGGUAGAGGAUAGUGGAAUUUCCGGUGUAGCAGUGAAAUGCGUAGAGAUCGGAAGGAACAUCUGUGGCGAAGGCGACUAUCUGGGCCAACACUGACACUGAGGCACGAAAGCGUGGGGAGCAAACAGGAUUAGAUACCCCAGUAGUCCCUGUCUCCUAUAC